AGCAGCCGCGGUAAUUCCAGCUCCAAUAGCGUAUAUUAAAGUUGUUGCAGUUAAAAAGCUCGUAGUUGAAUUUCGGGAUUGGCGUGUCGGUCGUGCCUUACGGGGUAUGAACUGGCGUCGUCGAUUUCUCACCUUCUGGAGAAUCACGAUGCCCUUAAUUGGGUGUCGUGUGGAACCAGGACCUUUACCUUGAAAAAUUAGAGUGUUUAAAGCAGGCAUUUUUGCUCGAAUACAUUAGCAUGGAAUAAUAAAAUAGGACGGUUUGGUUCUAUUUUGUUGGUUUCUAGGAUCACCGUAAUGAUUAAUAGGGAUAGUUGGGGGCAUUAGUAUUCAAUUGUCAGAGGUGAAAUUCUUGGAUUUAUUGAAGACUAACUACUGCGAAAGCAUUUGCCAAGGAUGUUUUCAUUAAUCAAGAACGAAAGUUAGGGGAUCGAAGACGAUCAGAUACCGUCGUAGUCUUAACCAUAAACUAUGCCGACUAGGAAUCAGACGAUGUUAAUUUUUAAUGACUCGUUUUGGC
rnacentral:rRNA from 1 species